rnacentral:rRNA from 1 species
CUACGGGUGGCUGCAGUGGGGAAUCUUGCGCAAUGGGCGAAAGCCUGACGCAGCAACGCCGCGUGCGGGAAGAAUGCCCUUUGGGCUGUAAACCGCUUUCAGCAGGAACGAAAAUGACGGUACCUGCAGAAGAAGAAGCGGCCAACUAUGUGCCAGCAGCCGCGGUGAUACAUAGGCUUCGAGCGUUGUCCGGAUUUAUUGGGCGUAAAGAGUUCGUAGGCGGUUAAGUAAGUCGGGUGUGAAAAUUCUGGGCUCAACCCAGAAACGCCACCCGAUACUGCUUGACUUGAGUUCGACAGGGGAGUGGGGAAUUCCUAGUGUAGCGGUGAAAUGCGCAGAUAUUAGGAGGAACACCGGUGGCGAAGGCGCCACUCUGGGUCGACACUGACGCUGAGGAACGAAAGCAUGGGUAGCAAACAGGAUUAGAUACCCCGGUAGUC